rnacentral:rRNA from 1 species
GACGAACGCUGGCGGCGUGCUUAACACAUGCAAGUCGAACGGACUACUUUGCUUCGGUAAGGUGGUUAGUGGCGAACGGGUGAGUAACGCGUAGACAACCUACCUCUUAGAUGGGGACAACAUCGCGAAAGCGGUGCUAAUACCGAAUGAAGUGACUUUCCUGCAUGGGAGAGAUACUAAAGGUGGCCUCUAUUUAUAAGCUACCACUGAGAGAUGGGUCUGCAUCUGAUUAGCUAGUUGGCGGGGUAACGGCCCACCAAGGCGACGAUCAGUAGCCGGUCUAAGAGGAUGAACGGCCACAUUGGGACUGAGACACGGCCCAAACUCCUACGGGAGGCAGCAGUCGGGAAUCUUCCGCAAUGGACGAAAGUCUGACGGAGCAACGCCGCGUGAGUGAAGAAUGUUUUCGGAUCGUAAAGCUCUGUUGUUUGAGACGAAUGUGCCUGUUUCGAAUAGGGAUAGGUAAUGACGGUAUUAAACGAGAAAGCCACGGCUAACUACGUGUCAGCCGCCGCCGUAA